UACGUAGGGUGCAAGCGUUGUCCGGAAUUAUUGGGCGUAAAGAGCUCGUAGGCGGUUUGUCACGUCGGACGUGAAAAUCCAGGGCUCAACCCUGGACCUGCAUUCGAUACGGGCAGACUAGAGUUCGGUAGGGGAGACUGGAAUUCCUGGUGUAGCGGUGAAAUGCGCAGAUAUCAGGAGGAACACCGGUGGCGAAGGCGGGUCUCUGGGCCGAAACUGACGCUGAGGAGCGAAAGCGUGGGGAGCAAACAGG
rnacentral:rRNA from 1 species